UAACUUACUUGAUGCAGGGAGAUUUGGUGGUCACGGUGGCCGUCUCCCCGAGACGAAGCCUUCCAUUGCAAUGCGGUUGGCUUAGACUCGGCACGUGACCAAAAAGGCGACGAUGGGGCAUGCAAUUUUUAUAGCGGUGUAUACACCCCA
rnacentral:snRNA from 1 species